UUUGCCAUGCACCAUCUCGCACUCCUUCCCGAUUCUUCUCCGUCUCUCCCAACGCAAUCCCCUCCACCUUCUUCAUGUGGCUGCCCCACUCCCCGCCACCGUCACGCAUUAGAUAGCGUCCUGGGCGCUGUCGCUCCCACGUCCUUGCUCAACACCCCCCCGCCAGCGCGGACACCCGCGAGCUCGGCGUGCCCCUCCUCCUGAGCACGACGGCCGCUGCCUCCACCACACGCACCACCUCUCUCGCCCAAGUCAGCUGGCUUCGACGGCGCCGUCACCUUCUCCUCGCACGUCUCAGCCCUCUUCCCUUCUUCCCUGCACGCGGUUGCUGCCUGGCGACCGACCCAUCCAAACCCUCGCACGCGGCGUGCGACCUGCAGACAGUAGAUGGAGGAGGAGGAAGAGUCCCCGCCCUCGCCUCUGCCACAGCAACCCGCUCGAGCGGGGGUGUCCUCCGCGAGGGAGCUCGCGGCGCAGACGAUCCAAGCACACUUCCGUCGGUUCCUGGCGCGGCGCUCCCGGACGCUGCGCUAACUCAAAGAGCUUGUUGUGCUCCGGUCCAAGGCCCCGGCGAUCCAGGGUUCCCUCUCCGGCCGACGUGGGGGCGUCGACCCCGCGGCCGCCAUGGGCCUUCUACUCCGGCUCAACGCUAUCUAGGGAGGGGACCCGAUGAUUCGUGAGGGGAAGCGUGCGGUGAGCCGAGAACUCACCCGGAUCUUGGAGUUCGUUGACAAGGUGCUACUCAAAGAGCACGAGCAGAUGGAUGAGUGAUGCAUUGGACACUAACGAGCACCAUGAAGGUUGCAAUGCUUCAUUCAUGGCAGAUCGACCAGCUGUGAUCAAGAAGGUGAGUUUCUCUAGUAAUGGUCAGGUUCACGAGCUUAAUGGAGAGAGAGAAUGGAAAUGAGGUUGAUGAGGGCUCUGAAAGCUCGAACUCUGCUGACUCUGAUGAGAUGAAGGGUAUGCCCUCCAAGAAGAGCACGAAUGGAAAGCCCGGGCUUACGACACCAAUGCCUGUGCACAUGGAGACGAGGAAGAUUGUUAGGGAAAGGAGAUAACUUGUGUUAUGCACCUUGUAAUGCAACCUCAGGUUUCGAGUCCUGUUGUUUCUACAUUACUACUGUUAUUUUUCCAAUGAUGUUUUAUGAGGAAAGAUUGAACUCAUAAGAUGGUAGAGUUUGCACAACAGUGAACUUUAGAACUAGGGCUGUUGUAUGCUCAGAUUACCUCUUUGUUAAUUGCAAUUUUUUGCUGGAUUGU